UUGGAACCGGGAGAGGUGAGGGGUACUUCGGGGGGUAGGAGUGAAAAUCCUGUAAUCCUCGAGGGACCACCUGUGGCGAAGGCGCCUCACCAGAACGGCUUCGACAGUGAGGGACGAAAGCUGGGGGAGCAAACCGGAUUUAGAUACCCGGGUAGUCCCAGCCGUAAACGAUGUGCGUUAGGUGUAUCGGUGACCACGAGUCACCGAGGUGCCGAAGGGAAACCGUGAAACGUACCGCCUGGGAAGUACGGUCGCAAGGCUGAAACUUAAAGGAAUUGGCGGGGGAGCACCACGAACAGGUGGAGCCUGCGGUUUUAAAUUGGACUCAACGCCGGAAAUCUCACCGGAUAAGACGAGCAGAAUGAUUGCCGGGCUGAAGACUCUGCAUGACUAGCUGAGGAGAGGUGCAUGG
rnacentral:rRNA from 1 species